CUCAUCAAUCUAGCGGGAGAGACGGGAUAACCUGUCUGAAAGUAUAGUACCACUAGCGCUCCGCCGAAAAAACACUAAAAAAAAAAAAAAAUCACCAAAAAUAACUUGGAGCAAAAGACAAUYCGCGAAGCUUCGCCAGGGUUGACGCAGUGGGUUUUGACCUUUAGGAAAGAGCCAAUUCUGGAAAACAACCUAACUUCUUUGAUUGAAUACACACAUAAUGCUUUGGAACAUGAUAGGAGAUUAAGGUUUAAUAAUGACAAAAUGAAGACCACAAUAAAACAGCCCCCUACUAGCCCAGGAAUUCUUACUUUGUGGAUAUUACUAUCCCUUCCUCAUGGAAAAUGUUUUAUUCUAAGUGUUGUUUCUCAUUGAGUAUUAUCAAAAAGGAGAAAAAUUAUUGUCCUAAAUUUUUGAGAUAGAUUUGGCAAUAGUAAGUAUUUAGAUAUAUCACAUAUCUGAGAGAAGAAGAGAUCAUCAGUAUAUUCCUAUCUACUAAAAAGUUUUAUUUUCUUUUAUCAAAGGAUUUUUUCUUUUAUAACUUGUUACUAAUAGCUUGAGCCCCUUUAAUGCAGAACUAACCCCCUCACCAGCAC